CCUUCGGGAACCGUGAGACAGGUGCUGCAUGGCUGUCGUCAGCUCGUGUUGUGAAAUGUUGGGUUAAGUCCCGCAACGAGCGCAACCCUUAUCCUUUGUUGCCAGCGGUCCGGCCGGGAACUCAAAGGAGACUGCCAGUGAUAAACUGGAGGAAGGUGGGGAUGACGUCAAGUCAUCAUGGCCCUUACGACCAGGGCUACACACGUGCUACAAUGGCGCAUACAAAGAGAAGCGACCUCGCGAGAGCAAGCGGACCUCAUAAAGUGUGUCGUAGUCCGGAUUGGAGUCUGCAACUCGACUCCAUGAAGUCGGAAUCGCUAGUAAUCGUGGAUCAGAAUGCCACGGUGAAUACGUUCCCGGGCCUUGUACACACCGCCCGUCACACCAUGGGAGUGGGUUGCAAAAGAAGUAGGUAGCUUAACCUUCUGGAGGGCGCUUACCACUUUGUGAUUCAUGACUGGGGUGAAGUCGUAACAAGGUAACCGUAGGGGAACCUGCGGUUGGAUCACCUCCUUA
rnacentral:rRNA from 1 species